AGGACGAACGCUGGCGGCGUGCCUAAUACAUGCAAGUCGAACGGCUUUUCUAUGGAAGCUUGCUUCCACUGAGAAGAUAGUGGCGAACGGGUGAGUAACACGUGGGUAACCUGCCCAUAAGAGGGGGAUAACAUCCGGAAACGGGUGCUAAUACCGCAUAGUUUCCUUGGUCGCAUGAUCGGGAAAGGAAAGACGGCCUUUGUGCUGUCGCUUAUGGAUGGACCCGCGGCGUAUUAGUUAGUUGGUGAGGUAACGGCUCACCAAGACGAUGAUACGUAGCCGACCUGAGAGGGUGAUCGGCCACAUUGGGACUGAGACACGGCCCAAACUCCUACGGGAGGCAGCAGUAGGGAAUCUUCCGCAAUGGACGAAAGUCUGACGGAGCAACGCCGCGUGAGUGAAGAAAGGUUUUCGGAUCGUAAAACUCUGUUGUCAGAGAAGAACAAGUUGGAGAGUAACUGCUCCAGCCUUGACGGUAUCUGACCAGAAAGCCACGGCUAACUACGUGCCAGCCGCCGC
rnacentral:rRNA from 1 species